rnacentral:tRNA from 2 species
UAGAUUAAGGUCCGCCGGUUUGGACAGCUAGUUGUUAAUUAGUUUUAUUGUGGGAUCGAGGCCCGCUAGUCUAG